CUUGCAACAAGUAGGGCGGGACACGAGAAAUCCUGUUUGAAGAUGGGGGGACCAUCCUCCAAGGCUAAAUACUCCUGAUUGACCGAUAGUGAACCAGUACUGUGAAGGAAAGGCGAAAAGAACCCCAGUGAGGGGAGUGAAAUAGAACCUGAAACCGUGUACGUACAAGCAGUGGGAGCCCGAAAGGGUGACUGCGUACCUUUUGUAUAAUGGGUCAGCGACUUAUAUUUUGUAGCGAGGUUAACUGAAUAAGGGAGCCGAAGGGAAACCGAGUCUUAACUGGGCGGCUAGUUGCAAGGUAUAGACCCGAAACCCGGUGAUCUAGCCAUGGGCAGGUUGAAGGUUGGGUAACACUAACUGGAGGACCGAACCGACUAAUGUUGAAAAAUUAGCGGAUGACUUGUGGCUGGGGGUGAAAGGCCAAUCAAACCGGGAGAUAGCUGGUUCUCCCCGAAAUCUAUUUAGGUAGAGCCUUAUGUGAAUACCUUCGGGGGUAGAGCACUGUUUCGGCUAGGGGUCCAUCCCGGAUUACCAACCCGAUGCAAACUGCGAAUACCGAAGAGUAAUGCAUAGGAGACACACAGUGGGUGCUAACGUCCAUCGUGGAGAGGGAAACAACCCAGACCGCCAGCUAAGGUCCCAAAGUCUAUAUUAAGUGGGAAACGAAGUGGGAAGGCUUAGACAGCUAGGAUGUUGGCUUAGAAGCAGCCACCAUUUAAAGAAAGCGUAAUAGCUCACUAGUCGAGUCGGCCUGCGCGGAAGAUGUAACGGGGCUAAAAUAUAGCACCGAAGCUGCGGCAUCAGGCGUAUCACAAAUACGCCUUACGAUUAACAACAUCGAAUGAAGUGAAACGGAAUAAGAUGUUGGUCAAGCACCCAACACGUUGAGUUGGCAUAAAGUGCGGAUAGAAAUCAGAGGAAUAUUUGUGAUACGCCUGUUGGGUAGGGGAGCGUUGUGUAAGUCGAUGAAGGUGUAUUGAGAAGUAUGCUGGAGAUAUCACAAGUGCGAAUGCUGACAUAAGUAACGAUAAAACGAGUGAAAAACUCGUUCGCCGGAAGACCAAGGGUUCCUGUCCAACGUUAAUCGGGGCAGGGUGAGUCGGCCCCUAAGGCGAGGCUGAAAAGCGUAGUCGAUGGGAAACGGGUUAAUAUUCCCGUACUUGGUAAAGCUGCGAUGUGGGGACGGAGAAGGUUAGGUUAGCAGACUGUUGGAUGUCUGUUUAAGUUGGUAGGUGGGGAGUUUAGGCAAAUCCGGACUUCCAUAACACUGAGAGAUGAUGACGAGUUUCUACGGAAAUGAAGUAACUGAUACCACGCUUCCAGGAAAAGCCACUAAGCGAAAGGCUUUACUAAACCGUACUGAAAACCGACACAGGUGGUCAGGUAGAGAAUACUCAGGCGCUUGAGAGAACUCGGGUGAAGGAACUAGGCAAAAUAGCACCGUAACUUCGGGAGAAGGUGCGCUGGCGUAGGUUGUAGGAGUAUACCUCCGAAGGCUGAACCAGUCGAAGAUACCAGCUGGCUGCAACUGUUUAUUAAAAACACAGCACUCUGCAAACACGAAAGUGGACGUAUAGGGUGUGAUGCCUGCCCGGUGCUGGAAGGUUAAUUGAUGGUGUUAUCGAAAGAGAAGCUCCUGAUCGAAGCCCCAGUAAACGGCGGCCGUAACUAUAACGGUCCUAAGGUAGCGAAAUUCCUUGUCGGGUAAGUUCCGACCUGCACGAAUGGCAUAAUGAUGGCCAGGCUGUCUCCACCCGAGACUCAGUGAAAUUGAAAUCGCCGUGAAGAUGCGGUGUACCCGCGGCUAGACGGAAAGACCCCGUGAACCUUUACUAUAGCUUGACACUGAACAUUGAAUUUUGAUGUGUAGGAUAGGUGGGAG
rnacentral:rRNA from 1 species